rfam:Stenotrophomonas daejeonensis strain JCM 16244 contig_6, whole genome shotgun sequence.
CAACAAAACUCUGGAGAGACCGGUUCAAUCCGGCGCCGAAGGUGCACGAAGCGCGCGGUCCCCGCCGCUUCCAAACUCUCAGGCAAAAGGACAGAGGGGCACGA